CCCCAGCCCCUUGGGGUUUUUUUAAAUAUAUAUAUAUAUAGCGCGCUCGCCUGGCAUGCGUGUAGCCCGGGUUCGAUCCUCAGCACCACAUACCAACAAAGAUGUUGUAUCCGCCGAAAAUUAAAAAAUAAAUAUUAAAAAAAUAAUAAUAAAGUUUAAAAAAUAAAAAAAUUUAAAAACCCAAAGUAAUAUCUGAUUAUUGCAUAAAUUUUCAGAGAAUACAGACAAGUAAACAUAAUUAAAAUCAUCUUUAAUCUUCCAUUUCUAACUCAUUGGUGUCCACCCUUCCAGGGUUUUCCCUGUGCAUGAAGAUACCAGGGACAAGAGGUGACUGGUCGUCUCCCAAGGUGUCGAACCUCCCCAGGGGCUGUGAAGUAACCCCAAACGCAAUGCCUCUAGUACCUACCACUUAGGACUACUUAUCAAUGAUUGCCUGAAUGAUUAAGAGUUAUAUCUCUAUAAACAACAUGUCUCCGCAUGCCCCUCACUCAGCAGCCCUGCAGGUGCAAUUCCAUGUGGGCCUCCAGGAGGCUGGACCUCCCCCAUCAGGGGGAGGGUACUUCAUCGUCAUUGCUUGCUGUUUCAAUGAUAGAUAAUGGUCUGGUUUUGUAAUCAUCAAUCUGGUUUGUUGUGGACUUUUCUGUUUAACCUCACUGCCUGCAGGGACGCAUAUCUACAACAACAGCUUUGAGCCUGUCAUCUCCUAUAACCAGGCUCUGGUACACACAUGGCUGCAUCCAGCUGGAUCAUUCAUCUCCAAGGAGUGAAAAGUCUGCAGAUUCCCACAAUAGGCUGCCAUGGACGGGGCCACUCUCCUCCACCAAGCCCUUCUGCGAAGAAGCUUCUGCAUUGGAGGCAGCCAGCGCAGACUGAAAGCUGUUAAACCGUGAGCCAAAAUAAACCUUCCCCCUCCAGGUUGUUCAUGUCAGGUAUUUUGGUCACAGUGAGGAGAAGCCAACUAACACACUGAGUAUUUGGUUCAUUGUCAUAUUUCAGUGACUUACUCGGUGUUGCAUACGUGUGCUUUAUACAUUUCAAAUAUCUACACCAUCACCACCAACAGCAAAACAACGUGACGGCUUCCUAACGUUCCUAAGGUAAGGCAGACAGGCAGAAACCUUGACGUGACUGGUGGGGCCUCGUCUGCCUGGACCUGCGGUCCUCGCCUCUCGCCCUCAGUCCCUGCUUCUCAGCCUCCCCAGCCUCCUCUUCCCUUCCUGCAGGCUGCCAGGCUCCCUGCUGGCCGGCUCUUGCCUGUUCCUCCUGCUGUCACCUUCAGAAGGUCGGGGAGCACCGACCCUGCCCCCGAACCUCUCCUUUGCAGCAAGUUCACACCUAUGGUUUACAUUUCUUUGUUGGUUUCUGGGUUAGUGUCAGUCUCUGUAACCUCAGGUUCCGUGAGGCCAGAACUACACCUGGCGCUUCACAGAACAUGGUAGGCCACCCAAAGUAUUAUUGAAAAACGAAACAUGUACGUUUUCCUUGAAAGACAGGCCAUAGCUGUGGCACUCCCACACAAACCAGAGUCUUCCCACAGGAAGGUGACGGAUCUCGUUCUAAACUGUCCUUCCCACUGCACACUCCAACUCUGAUUGACCCGGCCCACGCCCUGUCUCUCUGGAGUUCCAGGUUGAAGUUCCAAUAUGGAGUGAGUGCACUAAUAAAUUAACCCACAAAGCAACAAAUUCUGACAGCUGCCUGGGCUGCACUACCCGGGCACCCAGCCCUGACGCACACACAGCAAGAGCCCACUUAUCAGAAGCCUCCACAAACCUCUGUCCUGCCCACUGCUAAAGACCAAGUUCCCAAUCCAGAUAACACCAGCCAGCAAGCAGUAUUUGGAGACUUGAUAUAGAGGCUGUGAGUAGGUUCUAAAAAGCUACCUCGUCCAGACUCCUCUCCCACUGCCUAAAUUUUAAACUAGACUGGCUUUGCCUUUGCUAGACAGGAAAACUCCCACUGCGCACUCCGUCUUUGAUGGCAGAGUCUGUAUUUUCUGCUUAACAAAGAAGGCUCAAGGGGCUGGGGGUAUAGCUCAGUUGCCAGAGUGCUUUUCUUGCAUCCACAGGGCCCUGGGUUCAAUCCCCAGAACCAUCACACACACACAAAAAAAGAAAGAAAGCUCAAGGAAGGCAGGACUUCAGAGAGAUGAAUGAGACCCUGUUAGUUUCCACCCCUGCACCCCAAGCUGAUGAACCUUUUCUUACUAGGCGCUGCCCACCUGAAUCAGUCUCCUUGUCUGGGAAGUUCCAGGCUUAUGGGGUGGCUGUAGGGGUGGGUGGGGGGAAGGAUUCUUAUUUAAUACAACAAAGAGUCAACAUUGUACUUUGGAAUAGUUAGAUAUUGCCAUUAAAAUGAAAAAUAAAAAAAGGAGGGCUAUAGUUACCAUUCCUUUUUUUAGGAAUUUAACCUUUACUUUUUAUUUAUCUGUUCUUUUAUGUAGUGCUGAGGAUGGAACCCAGUGGCUCACCCUUUCUCGGCAAGCGCUCUACCACAGAGCCACAGCCCAGCCCAAUACAGUUACCAUUUUUAUCUUAUUAACUCUAAGAGCCACUGUCUUCAUACCUUAGUAUUUCUGAUAUUGGAACAUGAAUUGCAUUAUAAAUGCAUUCUCAGUAUAGUGCCCUCCAUUUGUUAUUAAAUCAAGAGCAUGUUCUUAUGCUCAAUGGUCUUAGAAAAAAAAUUCACAUCCUUACACAUGAAUAUUAUGGCAUAUUCUACAUCCCCAAAAGAAAUAAGCGAUAAACUAUAGUUUUUGUUCAGAUGUGAGGUGUUCCCCAAAAGUUCAUGUGCGAGAUAACGCAAGAAUGUUCAGGGGUGAAUGAUCAGAUUAUGAGAGUCACAAUCCAGUCAGUGGUCAACCCCCUGGUGUGGAUUCACUGGUGGUAACUAGGCAGGUGGCUUGUGGCUGGAGGGAGGACUGGGGUGUGCCUUUGUCCUCUGUGAGCCUCUCUCCCACUUCCUGGUUGCCGAGUCCUGAGCUGCUUCCCUCUGCCAGCCUUCCACCAUACUGUUCACGGCAGGCCCAGAGCCAUGGGGUCAGCUGGCCGUGAACUGAGCCCCUGAAACCAUGAGCCAAAAUAGACAUUUCCUUUUUCUAGGUUGGUCUUGUCUGGUCUUUUGGUCACGGCAACACAAAGCUAACUAAAAUAACUAUUAAAAAGGAAAGAAAGGGGCUGGGAUUGUGGCUCAGCAGUAGAGCGCUCGCCUAGCACGGGCGGGGAGCGCGGGCGGGAUCCGGGUUUGAUCCUCAGCACCACAUUAAAAUAAAGGCAUUGUGUUGUGUCCAUGUACACCUAAAAAUAAUUUUUUUUAAAGAGGAGAGAAAAUGGAUUAUGUGAAGAUGAUACUAUCACAACCCUAGUUGAGCCAAGAGGUUCAAUUGACAAACUCUUUUUUUUUUUUUUUUUAAUAUUUAUUUUAUUUUUUUUAGUAUUUGGCGGACACAACAUCUUCGUUUGUAUGUGGUGCUGAGGAUCGAACCUGGGCCGCAUGCAUGCCAGGCGAGCGCGCUACCGCUUGAGCCACAUCCCCAGCCCCUGACAAACUCUUAAAAUGAACACCUGUCAAGGAAUAUGGCUAGAUAUAAGAAAAAUAUACAAAACACAACAAUUUCCUUAUACUUAGGGGAAAUAUUCUAUUUUUUAAUAGCAAGCAAAACAUAAAAAGAAAUAUCUAGGAAUAAUUUUAAGAAAUAUGUAGAGCUUGCAUGCAGCAAGUUAUAAAAAUUUGAGUAUAUGUCCUAAAUAGAAAGAUAUACUAACCCCUAUAAAUGCUAAUUCCUGCCAAAUUUUAAAACAAUUUACUACAAACUCUAUGAGGCUGGGGGAUAGGGAGUGGGUGCCACAUUUCCUCAAACGAACCCUACUGUGUGUAGAAUCCAGUGCAUAAUAAAGAUUCAAAAGCCAUAGCCCUGAGGGACCGGGGCUGUGGCUCAGUGGUAGAGCACUUGCCUGGUACGUGUGAGGCACUGGGAUCGAUCCUCAGCACCACAUAUAAAAUAAAGAUAUCGUGUCCAGCUGCAGCUAAAAAAAAGCUGUAGCAAUGAGAAGACGGAUAAUUCAAUAGAUGGAGCUGGGGCAACUGGUUGGCUAUUUGAAAGAAAAAACAAAAAUCUAGAUUCUUGCUUUACAUUAAUAGACCCAAUUUCAAUUGUAAUAAAAGAUUAAAUAUAGAAACCCCUUAAGUAAAAAUGAAUUUUAAAAA